rnacentral:rRNA from 1 species
GACAAUGAGCGCAAGCCUGAUCCAGCCAUGCCGCGUGGGUGAAGAAGGCCUUCGGGUUGUAAAGCCCUUUUGUCCGGAAAGAAAAGCACGGGAUUAAUACCCUCGUGUGAUGACGGUACCGGAAGAAUAAGCACCGGCUAACUUCGUGCCAGCAGCCGCGGUAAUACGAAGGGUGCAAGCGUUACUCGGAAUUACUGGGCGUAAAGCGUGCGUAGGUGGUGCGUUAAGUCUGUCGUGAAAUCCCCGGGCUCAACCUGGGAAUGGCGAUGGAUACUGGCGCGCUAGAGUGAGGUAGAGGAGAGUGGAAUUCCCGGUGUAGCAGUGAAAUGCGUAGAGAUCGGGAGGAACAUCAGUUGCGAAGGCGGCUCUCUGGACCAUCACUGACACUGAGGCACGAAAGCGUGGGGAGCAAACAGGAUUAGAUACCCUGGUAGUCCACGCCCUAAACGAUGCGAACUGGACGUUGGGCUCAAUUAGGAGCUCAGUGUCGAAGCUAACGCGUUAAGUUCGCCGCCUGGGGAGUACGGUCGCAAGACUGAAACUCAAAGGAAUUGACGG